UUUUAUCUUCCUCCAGAAAGAAAAAAUCCCUACAACUUCCACACCUUUCCACUAGAACUAGAAUAGUCAGGAUAUUGUUUUUCCUCUUCAUCACACAACACAAAUCAAAGCUGAAAGAACGAAAAUUAUCCGAAAGUGGAGGAGAAAGUUGGAAAAGGGGGCUAUUGUUGCUUCCUCUCUUUAAUGUCUGUAAUUCCUUCUUUAUUAUAUGAAAAAUAAACAAAAAUUUGAUAUCCCCUUUCCUAUUUAAACAUCUUAAGAGAGAUCUCUUAAUCUUUGAUUAUUCUAUAGAACUUUCAAUCCUAAAGUGCGGAACAUCAGUAAUAGUACUACUAGUAAUAAUUGUUGCCAAAAUUUCAGUGCUAUUAUGGCGAUUUUCUUCUUUCUCUCACCAAAUUGAUAUUGGAGGAGAGAUUUGACAAGUAUCUUGGUUUGUUAACUUGGAGGAAAAGUGACCCUGCAAUUGGUGCUUGCAACCAUUGAGGUGAAUCCAGUCACUCUUGCCGAGUUACAUCUUCCUUCUGAAGAAGAACAUGGGAGAAUGCUUGCCAUACUAUUGUUAUGAUUCUGAACAUUUUGAGCCGCAAACGUGCCGUCAUCUUCGACUCAACAGUAACUCUAGCCAGUCUUCAUUACUCCAGA